GAUGAACGCUGGCGGCGUGCCUAAUACAUGCAAGUCGAGCGAACAGAUGAGGAUCUUGCUCCUCUGACGUUAGCGGCGGACGGGUGAGUAACACGUGUAUAACCUACCUAUAAGACUGGUAUCACUUCGGGAAACCGGAGCUAAUACCGGAUAAUAUAUUGAACCGCAUGGUUCAAUAGAGAAAUACGGUUUUGCUGUCACUUAUAGAUGGAUCCGCGCCGCAUUAGCUAGUUGUUAAGGUAACGGCUUACCAAGGGAACGAUGCGUAGCCGACCUGAGAGGGUGAUCGGCCACAUUGGAACUGAGACACGGUCCAGACUCCUACGGGAGGCAGCAGUAGGGAAUCUUCCGCAAUGGGCGAAAGCCUGACGGAGCAACGCCGCGUGAGUGAUGACGGUCUUCGGAUCGUAAAACUCUGUUAUGAGGGAAGAACAAAUGUGUAAGUAACUAUGCACGUCUUGACGGUACCUAAUAAGAAAGCCACGGCUAACUACGUG
rnacentral:rRNA from 1 species